GCAGAGUGUGUGUUUGUAUGAGUGUGUGUAUAUAAUGCAGUGUGUUUGUAUGAGUGUGUGCUUAUAUACACACUCAUACAAACACACUCUGC